AAGAACGGGUGUUACGUUUGUAAUUGUUUUGCUGAAGAACUAUGUAAUUAUGACCAAAUUAGAUGUUAAGCAAACUUUGUAUUAUCGGCAAAAGUCAAGGUAAUUAAAAUCGCUCCGCAGUUUGCGUUAUGAAAACCUCCGCGCAAAAGAACAUGAUGAUGGAAAUCGUUCAAUGACAGUCAUCACCAGCCCCGCACAUGCCGUACACUCGUACACCAAUACCAAUACCAAUACGUCCAUAAGUGGCAGCAAGGCAAAAGCGCAAAACCAGCUUGCCGUGGGCGCAUGGCUGCUACCAUACCACGAGAGAUCAUCAGCAAAAGGAAGGCAAUCCAUCAACCCUCACAGAACGACUUCAACACAGGCAAACAGACAUCACCACUACGAUGUUUCGAGAGUAAGCGAGAAGAAGCGGGAGAGCACACAAUUUGAGAACAUUCGUCUCGCCGAUGGUGUUGGUUGCAUUUCGGCCUAACCAGACACCGACUCACACAAGUCCUCAUACGGGAUGGACAAACGAUCGCAUCGAAUCGGAAUUAGUUGGUGUUCGUCCGUAAAUCAAGUCGCUCGCAGUUAGUCUCGCUUGCGAAAAACAAUUCAAAUCCGGUGAAGUGAUCAGGAAAUAAUUGUGAUCCUUCGGCAAAGCGCAUUCUGGCUACGUUUGGCCGCGCAGAUUGUGAAUUCGGGAAAAGAUCGCUCCCAAGAGAAGGUGAGCAGAAAAUUCAAGUGACAAUUGAAACCAUUGUUCCACUUCAACCCAAAGCUAACAUCCGCCAUCUUUGAAGUGAGCGCAUCCAGCGUGUGUUUUUCAGCAGAUCACGACUAACGAAGAUCGGAGAGCGGAUUGGCAAGAAUCGGGCAAAAUUAUUCCUUGACGUCGGGCACCGGACGCAAUCGAGAUCAGCUUUUGGACCCCACGUAUCGUUGGACUGGACGCAAGUAUCGCGAGACUGGAACGAUCAAUAGAAGAACCAUUGAAACGACCGGAUCGAUCUUCGGCGGCGCGAGCAGAGGCCGUUCCAGGCUCAAUCGAAUAGGACGCUUUGAGGCAAACAGCACCCCGUAAACUGGCUAAAUCACGCAACACGACCGGAGCGAUCAAGACAAAGUUUCGUCGGACAAUAAGAACCCCUCAAAGGGGUUCUUUUUUCUUAUUGCAGUGUCAGUCGUCUCAAGUCAGGAAUUCAGGCCCAGUUCGAGCGUCACCACGCCCAGAAACGCGCUUCCGUCAGCGUCAGUAUAUCGGCACACACGGUGCUAGGGAGGAAGCAGCGGUUCCCAAACGAGUGCUUGCGGUGCGACAAGGCUGAUCGGAGGAGUCUUGCCAGCUGCCAGCCCACAGGGUCGAGGCAGUCAUGUCGAUCGCCGAGAAUGGAACGAGCAUGCGGCGGUGCACGCGUGGCCAAGUGAUGACCGGGUUGUGCGACAGGCCGGUGGCAUAAACCAGCUGUGAGCGGUAACCGUGAGUGAUUAAGUAAGAUCGAUGCCAAUUGAUUAUAAGAACACACAUUAAGAUAGCGCAGGAGGUUAGGACCACAGAUUAGGAGGGAGAUAUGAGCAAAACAGACAAUACAAACUUUUGAAAUGAGAA
rnacentral:lncRNA from 1 species